GCUCUGACUGACAGACUGUAGCAACGGCCUUUGAUUUCGGCAAGAUUCCCUUCAACCGCUCCUGGUGUCACAACGUCCCAAGGAUCCUAUAAAUAUCGAAAGCUCCGUGUUGCCCUGGAAACCUUUGAGACUUGGUCUUGCUUGUAAGACUGAAUCCAGCUUUCCCACAUUGCUCCAUCCCAGCUGAGUCAUGAAGAUCCUCCAAUUGUGCCUGGCAGUUCUCUCUUUGCUGCUCCUGUCUUCCUCAGGAUCUGCCCAGCUAAUACCAGGGAAUAGUCAACAAUGCAGUGGUGUUUGCAGAUUUGGAGGUUGUAUCUAUCCCUUCAUUCAGAGGGGGAGAUGUGGAUGGCUGAGGAGAUGUUGCGUAAGGAAGGAAUGAUUGCUGCCUGCUUACCCAGGAUCCUUUGAAAAAUGGGAGAUGUUCCCUCACCUUGAGAGCCACUGGAUCCUGCUUAAUCCCUUGCUGGAGACGCCUUCUGCUUAUUCCCCAAAGAAUCCAGAUAAAAAUUAAUAAAUGAAGACUUCAGAAAAAUUCCAUCAAUUGUAUGAGCUUGUUCCUUGUAAUAAAAGCAAAAUAAAGCACUC